rnacentral:rRNA from 1 species
GACGAACGCUGGCGGCGUGCUUAACACAUGCAAGUCGAACGGUAAGGCCCUUCGGGGUAAACGAGUGGCGAACGGGUGAGUAACACGUGGGUGAUCUGCCCUGCACUUCGGGAUAAGCCUGGGAAACUGGGUCUAAUACCGGAUAGGACCACUGCCUGCAGGGGUGGUGGUGGAAAGCUUUUGCGGUGUGGGAUGGGCCCGCGUGCUAUCAGCUUGUUGGUGGGGGGAUGGCCUACCAAGGCGACGACGGGUAGCCGGCCUGAGAGGGUUACCGGCCACACUGGGACUGAGAUACGGCCCAGACUCCUACGGGAGGCAGCAGUGGGGAAUAUUGCACAAUGGGCGCAAGCCUGAUGCAGCGACGCCGCGUGAGGGAUGACGGCCUUCGGGUUGUAAACCUCUUUCAGCACCGACGAAGCGCAAGUGACGGUAGGUGCAGAAGAAGGACCGGCCAACUACGUGCCAGCCGCCGCGGUAA